GACGACGCUGGCGGCGUGCCUAAUACAUGCAAGUCCGAACGAACUCCUGGUAUUGAUUGGUGCUUGCAUCAUGAUUUACAUUUGAGUGAGUGGCGAACUGGUGAGUAACACGUGGGAAACCUGCCCAGAAGCGGGGGAUAACACCUGGAAACAGAUGCUAAUACCGCAUAACAACUUGGACCGCAUGGUCCGAGUUUGAAAGAUGGCUUCGGCUAUCACUUUUGGAUGGUCCCGCGGCGUAUUAGCUAGAUGGUGGGGUAACGGCUCACCAUGGCAAUGAUACGUAGCCGACCUGAGAGGGUAAUCGGCCACAUUGGGACUGAGACACGGCCCAAACUCCUACGGGAGGCAGCAGUAGGGAAUCUUCCACAAUGGACGAAAGUCUGAUGGAGCAACGCCGCGUGAGUGAAGAAGGGUUUCGGCUCGUAAAACUCUGUUGUUAAAGAAGAACAUAUCUGAGAGUAACUGUUCAGGUAUUGACGGUAUUUAACCAGAAAGCCACGGCUAACUACGUGCCAGCAGCCGCGGUAAUACGUAGGUGGCAAGCGUUGUCCGGAUUUAUUGGGCGUAAAGCGAGCGCAGGCGGUUUUUUAAGUCUGAUGUGAAAGCCUUCGGCUCAACCGAAGAAGUGCAUCGGAAACUGGGAAACUUGAGUGCAGAAGAGGACAGUGGAACUCCAUGUGUAGCGGUGAAAUGCGUAGAUAUAUGGAAGAACACCAGUGGCGAAGGCGGCUGUCUGGUCUGUAACUGACGCUGAGGCUCGAAAGUAUGGGUAGCAAACAGGAUUAGAUACCCUGGUAGUCCAUACCGUAAACGAUGAAUGCUAAGUGUUGGAGGGUUUCCGCCCUUCAGUGCUGCAGCUAACGCAUUAAGCAUUCCGCCUGGGGAGUACGGCCGCAAGGCUGAAACUCAAAGGAAUUUGACGGGGGCCCGCACAAGCGGUGGAGCAUGUGGUUUAAUUUCGAAGCUACGCGAAGAACCUUACCAGGUCUUGACAUACUAUGCAAAUCUAAGAGAUUAGACGUUCCCUUCGGGGACAUGGAUACAGGUGGUGCAUGGUUGUCGUCAGCUCGUGUCGUGAGAUGUUGGGUUAAGUCCCGCAACGAGCGCAACCCUUAUUAUCAGUUGCCAGCAUUAAGUUGGGCACUCUGGUGAGACUGCCGGUGACAAACCGGAGGAAGGUGGGGAUGACGUCAAAUCAUCAUGCCCCUUAUGACCUGGGCUACACACGUGCUACAAUGGAUGGUACAACGAGUUGCGAACUCGCGAGAGUAAGCUAAUCUCUUAAAGCCAUUCUCAGUUCGGAUUGUAGGCUGCAACUCGCCUACAUGAAGUCGGAAUCGCUAGUAAUCGCGGAUCAGCAUGCCGCGGUGAAUACGUUCCCGGGCCUUGUACACACCGCCCGUCACACCAUGAGAGUUUGUAACACCCAAAGUCGGUGGGGUAACCUUUUAGGAACCAGCCGCCUAAGGUGGGACAGAUGAUUAGGGUGAAGUCGACAAUA
rnacentral:rRNA from 2 species